rnacentral:rRNA from 1 species
CGGACGGGUGAGUAACGCGUGGAAAACCUGCCGUAUACUGGGGGAUAACACUUAGAAAUAGGUGCUAAUACCGCAUAAGCGCACAGCUUCGCAUGAAGUGGUGUGAAAAACUCUGGUGGUAUACGAUGGUUCCGCGUCUGAUUAGCUUGUUGGCCGGGGUAAUGGCUCACCAAGGCGACGAUCAGUAGCCGGCCUGAGAGGGUGAACGGUCACAUUGGGACUGAGACACGGCCCAAACUCCUACGGAAGGCAGCAG